UACGUAGGUGGCGAGCGUUGUCCGGAUUUACUGGGCGUAAAGGGCGUGCAGGCGGUUUGUUAAGUGCAGAGUGAAAGCUCCCGGCUCAACUGGGAGAGGUCUUUGCAUACUGGCAAACUCGAGGGAGGCAGAGGAAAGUGGAAUUCCCGGUGUAGUGGUGAUAUGCGUAGAUAUCGGGAGGAACACCUGUGGCGAAGGCGACUACCUGGCCUGUUCUUGACGCUGAGGCGCGAAAGCUAGGGGAGCAAACGGG
rnacentral:rRNA from 1 species